UGUGGCCGGGAGCCCCAUGCCAGUCGAUCAUCGCAUGCUGGCAUUGCUGUCUCCCUGGCGCG
rfam:Pseudomonas sp. Lz4W Contig03, whole genome shotgun sequence.